rnacentral:lncRNA from 1 species
UGCAGAGUUCUGAUGGAAUCCAGUGCAUUAAUGUUGGUAUGAUUGUAGCAUUUUCAUUCUGCGUUGCAAAUAGAUACACUAUUUAUCCUUCCCCCCUCCUAUCAUUUGUUUCCUUGUGCGUGCACACUUCACCUCUUUUUCUCGUUCUAAUAUCAAGUAAAAUACCCCGGUGCCUUGACUCACAUUUGUGAAUAAACUAGCGGACCAUAGUUCAAGUCGCGCAUAACGCCCCAUCUAUAAAAAAUGGGUACAAC